AGAUGCUGAUUUCUACGUGGUAUAUUGCACACUGUUACUGAGGACACAAGGACAAGCCAACUAUUAUUUGGUUCAUCAUCAAUUCAUAGAAGUCUCAAAUACCCACUCGACUGCCAGAGUAUUGCUACAGCAAUCUGUGAAUGACAAAUUCACUAAAUUAUCUCUUUGCCAAAAAAAAAAAAAUUAAAUUAGCUAUCUAUCAAGCAUUUGGUGAUCUUUCUAUUGCUGAAGUGAGGCAGAGUUCAUUUUUUGGUAAAUGGUUGUUUAUAAUGGUUUUGAAUCUCACACAGGGCACGUGAUACAAAUGCUAAGCCAUCACACAAAGAGUGAGUCCUCCAACAUGGUGUCAUUCCAGAUUUUGUUUUUGAUUUCCAACAUGUACCAUCUCUAAUCUGGGAUUUAUAGGACCUUUCUCAAUUAUGUGUCCUCUCUCCCUCAAGAGAAGAACAAGAAUCUGCUCAUCUCUUCAUCCCCAGGAUCCAAGCACCCUUAACAUACUCACCUGGUAGGUAAAUAAAGGACAAUUUAUCCAUUUGUCUCACUUCCGAAAUUUCAGCGUUGAACUAUCUUCUGGUUUCUACCCUUCUUUACCUGCCUCAAAUGGCAGCUUAUAGUAUAGUGGAAGUUUAACUGUAGCUGGUAAUUAUUGAGCACUUACUGUAGGUAGACGUGACAUAAAAUGCUUUAAUAUAAUCUUCACAUCAAAUCUGUGGAGUGAGCACUGCUACUGUCAUUACAUAACAAUGAGGAAAUAAAGUUUAGAGAAAUGAAUUAAUUCACCCAGGGUCACAAAAUUAUUCACUGGUGGAACUACAAGCCAAGACUAGGCUGUCUGGUUUUAGAUCAACUCCGAACUGCUCUUUUGUAGCAGAUCCACUGAUGCCCACAACCUGAGUGCCUGGCAUCAGAACUGUUCAUAGUACGUACUUAGUAAGCUUCAACGGAAUGAACGAACAAAUAUUCAUUGCAUUUAGAUUUCUACCCAUAAUAUAUGGGCCUGGGGAUGGGUUACCCUUCAUUCCUCUAAUUUAGGAUAUCUUUUAUUCAUUUAUUUUGACAGAGAGAGAGAGAGAGAGAGAGAGCAAGCAAGAGAGUGGCAGAGAGCACAGGAGAGAGAGAAUCCCAAGCAGGCUCCACGCAGUCACGAUCUGAGCCAAACUCAAGAGGCAGACACUUAACCGACUGACCACCCAGGCGCCCCUAAGUUAGGGUAUCUUCUAGUCCAUCAGAUGUAUCCAACCCUUGCUUUUAGUAUAUUCUUACAUGAUGGACAUUAAUAAUUAAGAAUAUGUUGAUGCUCUAAGAUUACAGAGAAGAAAGGGAAAAAUUAGGAUAGAAACAUAGCACUAAAUAUCAAAAGUCCUGGGGGUGCUUACUUAUUUCUAUCGCAGGAAGCAGUGGUCUCAAAGGAAUGUGCCACACUGCCGCGCCUGUGAUUCUGGAAGGCCAGGAUGAUCCUGGUGCCAGAUGGGGAGCCAUGUGAGGGUGUUGCCCUUGAAAACUGGCAAGAGGGUGGAGGCGAUUGCGGGCAGUAACCACUGGAAAUGAUAGGGUGGGGAUCUGUGCCUGGUGGCUUCACUUGCCGCCUGGAAUUAGCACCUGCAGCAUCUUUGGCAUGUGGACCAGGGAUUGCCAACCGCCAACCUUCGGGAUUGUUGUUUACUAUUUGCUGUGAGUAUAAAGCAUCCGUGUUAAAUAUGGGUUGUCGAGGGCAGAAUUUUGUCUGAAAGGAGGGCAGGAAUGUAGUCCCACUGGAUGAAAACAUGACUCUUCCCUCAACUAGCAGGGCAGGGUCUUACUCUCCGUGCUUUCUUGACAAACUUUAUGGGUUCAUUUUGAUUUGUCUUUUCUUAAUCAGUGUUUCUCUGUUUUUUGUUUUAAUUUUUACUUUUGAAAUCGUUUGAUCGCAAAAGGAGGCGGAUCCUUGAACAUGUCUGGAUUUAGUCCACACGGCGCUGGCUCAGAGUUGGGGUGUGUGGGUUCUCAGCUCCCUGCACUAACUCACUGUGUUAGAAAAGUUGCCUAACUCCUCUGGCCUUCAGUUUCCUCAUCUAUAAAAUGAAACGUUGAGCUAGA